UACGUAGGGCGCAAGCGUUUGUCCGGAAUUAUUGGGCGUAAAGAGCUCGUAGGCGGUUUGUCGCGUCUGCUGUGAAAUCCCGAGGCUCAACCUCGGGUCUGCAGUGGGUACGGGCAGACUGGAGUGCGGUAGGGGAGAAUGGAAUUCCUGGUGUAGCGGUGGAAUGCGCAGAUAUCAGGAGGAACACCGAUGGCGAAGGCAGUUCUCUGGGCCGUAACUGACGCUGAUGUGCGAAAGCUAGGGGAGCAAACGGG
rnacentral:rRNA from 1 species